rnacentral:sRNA from 1 species
AAAGAAAUGUAAAUGUUGGGGACCUUUUUGUAGUAAGAAAAAAAGACCCUAGAGGCCUAGACACAUGUUUCAUCUCGCUCGCCCAGAGACUAACAUAAAUACCAAAUAAAUCAUAUAUAUGAAAGAAGUCUAACUCUCUCCCACAACAUGACACCUCAGCAAUCCAGCAGUUGACACAUCAGCACAUAUUUUCAUAUAUUUACAAAAAAAUCAUUAAAAGUAAUUAAACGUAAUUUGCUCAAACUUUUAUAUAAUGAAUCAAUUAAUGACAUUUCAGUUUUACCUCUUUCGUCUCCUUCCAAAUUCCAAUUCAUCCCCUUCGUCUUCUUUUUCGGAAUCUUACUCGCCAAUCUUUCCAACUUCACAUUUUGUUAUCUAUUUAAC